rnacentral:snRNA from 1 species
CCACUUACCAUCAGGGAGAUCACCCUGACCCACAAGUGGUUUCCCAGGGCGAGUUUCACUCAUUUGCAUCUGGUUUGCUGGCCCCUGUGAUUCCCCAAAAUGUGGGAGACUCAGCUGGCCUAAUUGGUGGUAGUGGGCGAUCUGUGUCACGCUUUCCCCCU